GUUUCCGCGCCGCAGCUAACGCAUUAAGUGCCCCGCCUGGGGAGUACGGCCGCAAGGCUAAAACCUCCCAGGAAUUGACGGGGGCCCGCACAAGCGGCGGAGCAUGCGGAUUAAUUCGAUGCAACGCGAAGAACCUUACCAAGGCUUGACAUGUUCUCGAUCGCCGUAGAGAUACGGUUUCCCCUUUGGGGCGGGUUCACAGGUGGUGCAUGGUUGUCGUCAGCUCGUGUCGUGAGAUGUUGGGUUAAGUCCCGCAACGAGCGCAACCCUCGUUCCAUGUUGCCAGCACGUCGUGGUGGGGACUCAUGGGAUAUUUUUUGGGUCAACUCGGAGGAAGGUGAGGACGACGUCAAAUCAUCAUGCCCCUUAUGUCUUGGGCUUCACGCAUGCUACAAUGGCCGGUACAAUGGGUUGCGAUACUGUGAGGUGGAGCUAAUCCCAAAAAGCCGGUCUCAGUUCGGAUUGGGGUCUGCAACUCGACCCCAUGAAGUCGGAGUCGCUAGUAAUCGCAGAUCAGCAACGCUGCGGUGAAUACGUUCCCGGGCCUUGUACACACCGCCCGUCAAGUCACGAAAGUUGGUAACACCCGAAGCCGGUGGCCUAACCCUUGUGGGGGGAGCCGUCGAAGGUGGGACCAGCGAUUGGGACUAAGUCGUAACAAAGGUAACCA
rnacentral:rRNA from 1 species